AUGACCAUCGAGAAGAUGGGUAGAAAGAAGAAUCCAAUUGUCUUUCUGGAUGUAUCGAUAGGUGAUGGGCCUGACGAAAGAAUGAUAUUUGAGCUGUUUGCUAAUGUUGCUCCCCUUACAGCAGAGAACUUCAGAGCAUUAUGCACAGGUGAGAUGGGAAUUGGACAAUCAACUAAGAAGCCAUUAUAUUACAAGGGAUCAACAUUCCACCGUGUCAUCAAGGGGUUCAUGGCACAAGGUGGCGACUUCUCAAAUGGAGACGGAAAUGGUGGAGAAAGUAUAUACGGCGAACAAUUUGAAGAUGAAAAUUUUGUGCUACGCCAUGAUGACCGGGGUCUCUUGUCAAUGGCAAAUGCUGGACGUAAUACCAAUGGCUCCCAGUUCUUCAUUACGUUCAAGCCUAAUUCUCAUCUUGACAGGAAGAACACUGUUUUUGGCAAGCUUAUUCUUGGAAAUGAUGUGCUGAAGAGGAUUGAGCAUGUUGAUGUGGAUGGUUCUACUAAUAAGCCUAUCGUUCCAGUAAGAAUAGUGGAUUGUGGGGAGCUUGUUGAUGGUAAAGGCCGGGGAUCUUUCUCAACUGAAAAUGAUAAAAAGAAAGUUAAGUCAAAGUUGUCCAUUGAUUCAUCUGAAGACGAAGGUAAUGAAGAAAAACACAAGGGCCGUCGCAAGAAAUCUUUGAAGAGGAGAAAGAAGAAGAGAAGAUACUCUUCUUCAGAAUCAGAAACCUCAUCUGAGUCUGAGUCGUCAGAUUCUGAGAGUGAAUCAGAUUACUCCAGCGAGUCGUCUGACAUCAGCAGCUCAAGUGAUGACAAGCGGAGACGAAGGAAGAGACACUCCAAGAAGGAUAAACGCAAGCAUGGGAAAAGAAGGCGAGAUCGCAGGCGCGAGAAAAGACGUAGAAAGCGUGACAGGAAAUCAAAGCAGAAGUCAAAAAGGAUGGUAGAGAGUGACAGUGAAACUGGAAAUGCGAGUGAUGGCAGCUCUGAGGAUGCCAGAAGAAAGCGGCAACGCCAUGGAAGGAAAUCUAAGGCCACAUCUCAAAUUUCUGCUGAAGAUCACACAGCAGUAGCUGCUCUGAAGGAUGCCACUUCAACUCAGGAAAAGAUUGGAACACCAAGGAGUCUGGCACAAGAAGACAAAUCUCCACUGGAGAAUGGCGAGAUGCGCACAAAUGGUGUUACUGACUCCAAAUCUGAAAGGAAGGCCGGUAUCAUGCCUGUUCUAACUGGCAACCGAAGCAAAUCUAGGAGCCAGAGCACGAGUGCUAAUCACUCCAUGAGCAAGAGCAUGAGUGUAAGUCCCAGAAGCCCAAUCAAAAGGUCAAACGUCAGCCUGGAGAGAUUGGUAAGCCCGAGUCCUGUUCAUCAGCGUAGUAGAAGUCCUGUCCAUGCUUCCAAACAAAAAGAAAGCAGGAGCCCACCCGGACAGAGGAAUAUGAGCAUGAGUCCUCAUCGAAGAAGCCCCAGCAAGAGCCCACCUGGAAGGGCAAGCAGACGUCCUGUUGUCCGCAGGAACAGGAGUCCUGUUGAAGUUCGGACAAGAAGCAUUAGCAGGAGCUCAGCUAGGUCCUUGCAGCGAAGAAGUCCAAGUAGGAGCCCGGAAAGAACCCAUGUGCGAAAAAGUGUCAGUCCAAGCCCCACACCUAUGGAGAAGGGAAAAAGCAUUAGCCGAACUUCUGCAAGAUCUCCACUCCACAAGGGUUUUAGCCGGAGCCCUGAUAUGCCUCCCAGAAAGACUACAAGCAGAAGCCCUCAAAGGAAUGCUCAUAGAAACUUUAGCAGGAGCCCUGUGGGAUCUUCUAGAAGAAGCUUGACCCCUGUACGAGGUGGUCGAUCUCGCAGGAACGCCAGCAGAAGUCCUAGCCCACCUCGCAGGGCAGUAUCACCACCCAAUCACGGUAGGAGCCCAUCUAGGAGUGUCUCUCCCGAUGGAUCAAAACGCAUAAGAAGAGGGAGGGGCUUUACUCAACGUUACUCAUUUGCCAGACAGUAUCGUUCACCUUCUGUUGAUCGUUCUCACCGCUAUGGUGGAAGAGGUGAUCGUGACAGGUAUAUCAGUCACAGGGGCACUCGUUAUCGAUCACCUCCAAGACGAUACAGAAGCCCACCAAGAAGAGCAUCACCAAGGUCUAGCAGGUACAGAAGGAGGAGCCGAAGCGUGUCACGCAGCCCACCAGCUUAUCGAGACCGUGCAAGGGGAGGUGGCUACAGCAGGAGUCCAGUACGUAGUCGUUCGCCUCCUGCUGGGAAACCAAGUUCCCGAGGUGAUCGUGCACGGUCGCUCUCCAGGAGCAGGAGCCUGUCUGGGUCAAGAUCAAGGUCCCCACCACCUGUGCAGGAUUGCUCCCCCCUUGCCUCCCCAUCUCCAAAACAUGCAAGUAACGACAGGUCCCGGUCUAUGUCGGUGAGUCCUGAAGGGAAGAAGGGUUUGGUUUCCUAUGGAGAUGGCUCCCCUGAUUCUGCUGGGAAGUAG
rnacentral:rRNA from 1 species